rnacentral:rRNA from 1 species
UGGGGAAUUUUGGACAAUGGGCGAAAGCCUGAUCCAGCAAUGCCGCGUGUGUGAAGAAGGCCUUCGGGUUGUAAAGCACUUUUGUCCGGAAAGAAAUCCUUGGCUCUAAUACAGUCGGGGGAUGACGGUACCGGAAGAAUAAGCACCGGCUAACUACGAGCCAGCAGCCGCGGUAAUACGUAGGGUGCAAGCGUUAAUCGGAAUUACUGGGCGUAAAGCGUGCGCAGGCGGUUUGCUAAGACCGAUGUGAAAUCCCCGGGCUCAACCUGGGAACUGCAUUGGUGACUGGCAGGCUAGAGUAUGGCAGAGGGGGGUAGAAUUCCACGUGUAGCAGUGAAAUGCGUAGAGAUGUGGAGGAAUACCGAUGGCGAAGGCAGCCCCCUGGGCCAAUACUGACGCUCAUGCACGAAAGCGUGGGGGAGCAAACAGGAUUAGAUACCCUGGUAGUCCACGCCCUAAACGAUGUCAACUAGUUGUUGGGGAUUCAUUUCCUUAGUAACGUAGCUAACGCGUGAAGUUGACCGCCUGGGGAGUACGGUCGCAAGAUUAAAACUCAAAUGAAUUGACGGGGUCAUAGCUGUUUCCU